rnacentral:rRNA from 1 species
CAAUAGCGUAUAUUAACGUUGUUGCAGUUAAAAAGCUCGGAGUUGGAUUUCUGGAGGGAGCGUCGGCCCGUAUUUACGAGUGCGUGACGUCUCUGUCCAUCCUUGCGGGAAGGCACGGCAUUGAUUUGUUGUGUCGGAUCGCAUCAUUUACUGUGAAAAAAUUAGAGUGUUCAAAGCAGGCUUUCGCUUGAAUACAUUAGCAUGGAAUAAUAAGAUAGGACUUUGGUGCUAUUUUGUUGGUUGAGCCUAAAGUAAUGAUUAAUAGGGAUAGUUGGGGGCACCUGUAUUGCGUUGUCAGAGGUGAAAUUCUUGGAUUUACGCAAGACAAACAGCUGCGAAAGCGUCUGCCAAGGAUGUUUUCAUUAA